rnacentral:rRNA from 1 species
UACGAAGGGAACUAGCGUUGUUCGGAAUCACUGGGCGUAAAGCGGGCGCAGGCGGACUGUCAAGUCAGGGGUGAAAUCCUAAGGCUUAACCUUAGAAUUGCCUUUGAAACUGACAGUCUGGAGUGUGUGAGGGGGUAGCGGAAUUGCUAAUGUAGAGGUGAAAUUCGUAGAUAUUAGCAGGAACACCGGUGGCGAAGGCGGCUACCUGGCACACAACUGACGCUGAGGCCCGAAAGCGUGGGGAUCAAACAGG